AGAGAAAACCCAUCACUCCUGGACAUCAGCGGAGAUACCGUUCACAUGGUCUCAAAUGCAGCCAAGGCCCUUUUGGAUCCUUUCCAAGGAUUUGUGGAAGAAUUUUGCUCUGAUGUCUACUAUGAUAUCCAAAAAUUCCCCAAACAGAAGGAAAUUUUUUCCGAGUUUCAGUCCUUACUGCAUUUGGAAAACAAGAGCCUGAUACGUCCUAUCAGCAACAGGUUCCUGCAAAUGCUGAAAGUGUGCAACAGGUUGCGGGAGAUUAUGGACCCAUUGAUUGUGCAUUUCUACGGUUUCCUGUCCCCUCAGGAGCAACACAAACACAGAUGGCUCCUGAACCAGGUUCUUGACAAGCAUCAAGUGACACCCGAUGAGAGGGCCAGGAUCAUUCUUCUCCGACAGCAAAUGGCAAAAUCUGCAAGGACUGGAACAGUGUUCAACCAAAACCGGAAGAGACGCAUCUGUGUGCAGCUCUUCUCAGAGUUCGACAAGCUCACAGUCUUGAUAGAUCUUUACAGAGGUGUGCUUCCAACAUUCCAGGUGUUCCUGAAGAAGUUGCAACAUGAGAAACCCAUGCUCCAUGUGUUGCAUGCUGAGAUGGUGUUGCUGGUCAGGGAACUCCUCUCUAAAUUCAUGAAGCCUGAAGCCAUCUCCAUGAGGGUGAAUGAAUUUUGCUGAAGCUUGAUGUCCAGAACAGAGAGCUGCAAUACCCUGACAAAAAGUUGUCUGUGGGGAGAUACAGCUUCUUUGCCCUGAACAAGGCUAGAGUGGAGAAGAAGAUCUGGGUUCAGAACAUCUACAGCUCUCUCAGAGUAGGCUACAUCAAGGCAGCAACAUUCCUCCUGAAAAACCUUCCACUGAGGAAUCACACCAUCACCUCUUUGUCUGCGCUGGCACCAUCAAUGAUUCUCGAGGAAUCUGUCCAAGGAGCAUUCAACACCCUAGCCAAAGCUUUGCCAAAUGUGGUUAAAUCAGAGGAGCUUGGUCAACUGGAUGAUGAGGUGCGAGCCUACCAGAUUGACUCAGAUCUUGGGGCACAGGCCAAGUGCUAUGAAGAAAAUACUUCACAAAUUGAUGUUGACUGGUGGAGUAAAAUACUUGCAAGCAAGACACCAGGAGGAGGGUUGAGAUUCCCUGUCUUGGGGAAGUUGGUAAAGGCUGUUCUGUCAUUGUUCACUGGCCCUCUUAUUGAAGGAUCAUUUAACAUCAUGGAUGACAUCAUUGAGAAUGAUAGGGUCAGGUUGAACAUUGAGACAUAUGAAGGCUUAGCCAUCAUCAAGUCCCACAUGAAGGCAACAGGGACAACAGCAUCCAAAAUGGAAAUUAGCCCUGCACUGAGGAGUUCUUGCCUGUCCUCUUAUGAGCGAUACCAGAACCAUUUGCAGAAGAAGAAGGAGAUCAUUAACAAACAAAAGGAAAGGAAACUGAGAGAAACUGUGAAGGUCCUUUCAGCAGUUAGAAUAAGAAAAGUAAAGAAAGGUUCCACCUCUUCUGCUGCUGCUAGAGCCUCCUCCUCCACCCCUGGACCCAGAGCCACUGCAGCCACAGCCUCCUCCUCCUCCUCCUCCCUCACCACUCCUGGACCCAGAGCCACUGCAGCCACAGCCUCCUCCUCCCUCACCACUCCUGGACGCAGAGCCACUGCAGCCACAGCCUCCUCCUCCUCCUCCUCCCUCACCACUCCUGGACCCAGAGCCACUGCAGCCACAGCCUCCUCCUCCUCCUCCUCCUCC
ensembl:lncRNA